GCUGUGUUGCCAGAGUGGUUAAUGGGUAAGACUUGAACGGCAUCACGCCUUAUAGAUAUCUUAUGGUUUCGGCCUCGUAGGUUCAAAUCCUGCACACAGCG
rnacentral:tRNA from 1 species